AUUGCCCAAGAGUCCUUGCCUUGCAAGACGUAUGCAUUGGGAAAUCUUGAUUGGACAGCCGCAGAAAGUGUCCCUUUCAAAUAAACUUUUAUACAUUUCUGUUUUAUUGUUGUAAUCUGCUAGGUGCACCUUAAAGCUGACCUGUCACUAUUUUAAAACCUACAAUCAACAACUCAGUAUAAGGAAAAGCUUCAAACGAGAUCAUUGUUCACCAGAAAAACUCAUAUUGCAAAUUAAAAAUAGAAAAGUUAACAUAGUAAGGGAGGGAUUCGUCCUCCUG